rnacentral:snoRNA from 1 species
UCUAAUGCUCCAAUACUAACUUUACCGAAUAACGGCAUCUUGUUCGAUCCUUCAUAUCACAACAGAUGACAUGAGUUCGUUUACAUUA